UGAGGAAGAUGAUGAAGUUGAACCGAGUUGGUGAUGGUGAUGAGAUUCUGAUGAUAGAGUCCGACUUUUUUUGGACAUGUCUAAGGGUUGAUCACAUUCUUCU
rnacentral:snoRNA from 1 species